rnacentral:tRNA from 1 species
GGCGGCUCAUAGGAUGGCAAGGUGGUAUAUGUCAUUGAAAACUAACGUGUCGUUGCGGAUUGCAAAUCCGUUUACAGCGGUUCGAUUCCGCUUGAGGCCUCCA